GUGCUUCUUAAUCGGGAGUAUGGGUAUCCUCACUAAUCAAGCAUGAGCUUCGAGAGAAAAGCAAGGUACAAAGCUGAAAUUGGACCAACCUUUUCUGUAGAAUGGACAAGGUCCCAACUAUUUGUUUGGAAGUAGAAACUGUUUUCACAAAGCAUAAAUAAACCUUUAUGUAAUUCGAUUUAUAACUUUAUUAUGUGGCAUCUUGUGUAACCAUCUCUGUUUCUAAUACUAU
rnacentral:misc_RNA from 1 species